GAUUGGAUGAGUUGGUAGUUAGCUGCAGCAACUCUAAAGAUGCUUUUCGUAUUAUCUCAACUUUCAUGUGUCCAACUCCAAUCUUUAUAUUAGAUUGCUCUCGUCUUUGCCAGUCACUUUCUGGAAAUAACAAUUUUGGGAUGUAAAAAUGGUUGAACGGUGUCGUAUUGAUUACAGACAGUGAAUGUGCAAAUACAUAAAAUGAAUGAAACAUAAUCAAAAUUUUCUAAAUUAGUACAAAAUAUAGAAAAUAAAUAACUAA
rnacentral:misc_RNA from 1 species